GGCUUGGUGGUGUAGUGGCAACACACCUGCUUGCAGUUGGCCCUCUCGCACCGAUUUUAGCAGGAAUCCCUUGUUCGAUUCGAGGUCAGGCCA